rnacentral:rRNA from 1 species
UACGUAGGGGGCAAGCGUUAUCCGGAUUCACUGGGUGUAAAGGGAGCGUAGACGGCGACGCAAGUCUGGAGUGAAAGCCCGGGGCCCAACCCCGGGACUGCUCUGGAAACUGCGUCGCUGGAGUACGGGAGGGGCAGGCGGAAUUCCUGGUGUAGCGGUGAAAUGCGCAGAUAUCAGGAGGAACACCGGCGGCGAAGGCGGCCUGCUGGACCGUGACUGACGUUGAGGCUCGAGAGCGUGGGGAGCAAACAGG